GGAAAACUUACCAGGUCCAGACAUAGUGAGGAUUGACAGAUUGAGAGCUCUUUCUUGAUUCUAUGGGAGGUGGUGCAUGGCCGUUCUUAGUUGGUGGAGUGAUUUGUCUGGUUAAUUCCGUUAACGAACGAGACCCCCGCCUGCUAAAUAGGUCCGUGAAUGAAUUUCAUUGACGAGAUCUUCUUAGAGGGACAUGUAGUAUAAAACUACAGGAAGAUUGGGGCAAUAA
rnacentral:rRNA from 1 species